GGCUACACACGUGCUACAAUGGGUAGUACAGAGAGUCGCAAAGCCGUGAGGUGGAGCUAAUCUCAGAAAACUAUUCUUAGUUCGGAUUGUACUCUGCAACUCGAGUACAUGAAGUUGGAAUCGCUAGUAAUCGCGAAUCAGCAAUGUCGCGGUGAAUACGUUCUCGGGUCUUGUACACACCGCCCGUCACACCACGAGAGUUGGUUGCACCUGAAGUAGCAGGCCUAACCGCAAGGAGGGAUGCUCCGAGGGUGUGAUUAGCGAUUGGGGUGAAGUCGUAACAAGGUAUCCGUACGGGAACGU
rnacentral:rRNA from 1 species